AAUACAAAGAGUUUGAUCCUGGCUCCGGAUGAACGCUAGCAAUAUACAUAACACAUGUUAGUCGAAUGCCUUAAAAAGCAUGGCGCACGGGUGAGUAAUACGUAAGAAUCUGCUUUAAAGAUUGAAAUAAUUAUUACUAUAUAUUUUAUAUUUAGUAAAAAAAUGUCAUAUACUAAAGGUCAUAUAGACCGCUUUAAAAUGAGCUUACGCAGGAUUAGGUAGUUGGUAAGGUAAAGGCUUACCAAGCCGAAGAUCCUUAGUUGGUCUGAGAGGACGACCAGCCACACUGGAACUGAGAUAAGGUCCAGGCUUUUUAGCCAGCAGUGUGGAAUCUUGGACAAUGGACGAAAGUUUGAUCCAGUAAUAUUGCGUGAAUGAGGAAAGCAAAAAAGAUUAGCAGACAGGGGUUUGCUAAUCGGCUGUAAAGUUAUUUCGCUAGUAAAGAUUAUGACAUAACUAGAGAAGAAGCUCCGGCUAAUUUCGUGCCAGCAGCCGCGGUAAUACGAAAGGAGCAAGCGUUAUCCAAAUUGAUUGGGCGUAAAGGGUUUGUAGGCGGUAUUUUUUCGCGGUUUGUAAAAAAAUGAGACAUCAUCUUAUUAUGACAUUCUGUACUUUAAUACUUGAGUCUAAUUGAGGAUAACAGAAUUCUAUAGGGAAGAGUAAAAUCUAUUAAUCUAUGGAGGAAUGCCAGAGGCGAAAGCGGUUAUCUGGGUUAGUACUGACGCUGAGGAACGAAAGCGUAGGGAGCAAACAGGAUUUGAUACCCUGGUAGUCUACGCUGUCAAAGAUGAAUGUUAAUAUUGGGUCAUUCUGGUAUACAGCUAACGCGUUAAACAUUCCGCCUGGGGAGUACGGUUGCAAGACUGGAACUCAAAGGAAUUGACGGGGAUCUACACAAGUGGUGGAGCAUGUGGUUUAAUGCGAUAAUACGCGCGAAAUCUUACCAGUUCUUGAUUAUAAUGAAACAAUAAUGUUAUGUUAUUGCAUAUGUAAAAUAUAAAUUUAUUUUAUGUUAUCGUUUUACAGGUGUUGCAUGGCUGUCGUCAGCCCGUGCCGUGAGGUGUUUAGGUAACUCUUUUAACGGGCAAAACUCUUAUGUUAUUUUGGUACAUUUUAAUAAAUAUAUUUUUAUUAAUAAUACAACUAAUAACUACCAAUUUAAGGCCAAUUCUUCGGAAUUGGAGGAAGCUGAGAAUCACGUCAAGCCCUUAUGGCCCUUAUGAGCUGGGCUACACACGUGCUACAAUGAUUAAUACAAAAAGUUAUACAAUAAAGUAAUUUGGAGUAAAUCUUUAAAAUUAGUCGUUUGUUCGGAUUAUAGACUGCAAUUCGUCUAUAUGAAGCUGGAAUCACAAGUAAUCGUAAAUCAGCACGUUACGGUGAAAUUGUACCUAGAUCUUGCACACACCGCCCGUCACAUGCUGGAAUUGGGUCUUGUUUGAAAUUAACGUUUUUAAUAUUAGUAUAAAAAAAUAUCUUUAAUC
rnacentral:rRNA from 1 species